UUCAUGAGUUCUUCUUGAUUCUACCUUAACUCUUGAAGCAUAUUUUGGUUUUUAGUUGUGUUGUGAGCAUUUAGUCAUGAAUUAAAAUGAAGGAAAUGAUUUUUGUUUCAUUUUCUUUUGAUGAAAAAUGGAAGAUAGGUGAAGUUGAGCCAAACAAAUGAGCAUGCAUGUGCCUUAGAUGCUAAAGGGAAAAAUCGGCUAACAUGUUGUGCUUUAAAAUGAUGAAAUGGAGAUUAUAC
rnacentral:lncRNA from 1 species